CACAUGAAAGUGGUAAAUUCCCGCAUUUCACGAGAAUUUUCGUGCACCAAGUUUUGCAGUUUCUGCGUUGUGAAAAUGUUUCACUAUAAAAUCAGGCACCAGGUUUCCCACAGAUCAAAACUUUCCCCCCAUAACUUUUCAAAAUAAAAGCCCCCUCUUUCUGUGGUUUUAUUCCAGUCAUCCCCACCCAGAAUCUAUGCCAAUGAUGGCACUUAGAUAUAAGUGCUGAUAACUGCAUCAAACCUCCCUGCUCUUACCCAGGUACUGUUUCUUGCAGAUAAUAGGUGCUCUGUGUCAGCUGCAUCCACAUGUUGCCAGGUUGUGGGCAGGGUUUGCUGGCAGGGCAUUUGCUGUGGGUGAAAGGCUUGGGAUCACAAAAACAGGGCCUCAGACUGUGCCUUUCUUCUCCCAAAUAACUGAUUUCCUAAUGUUUUUCACAGUGCUGUGAGAUACAGGGCUUAUAUUGCCAAUGCCAAUAUUUUUAAGCUAUAAAGGCAGCUUAUGUAGGGGAGAGCAGUGUGUCAUGAGAUGAAUCAUCAUCAGUCUGAACACAUUUCAUGACCACUAAAUCACUGUGAUGUUUACUUUCUACAAUUCAUUUUGUUGUGUUAUCUAACACAAAAAAACGAACCUUUCAGCUAUGCUAUGAUACCAGCGAUCGAUAUUCGUACCAAUCUGCUCAUCUUUAGUUUUCUGGCAUUAAAGAGAACUUACUUGAAAAUGUGAGGACAGUGACACAUUGAAGUUGAGCAGUUUUUAAAAAAAAGAAAAAGAGAAAAAAAUGUACCCUCAGUGUAGAAAACAACAAAAAACAAAUGACUUACAUUUGUGUGCCAUCCACAACAAUCACCAGGAAAUAGUUUGGUCCCCCCCCUCCCCUUUUAAAAAAAUAUAUCUGAAACAAAAUGAAGCCCACUAAGUGCCUUUUUUUUUCACCCUUUGAUCUUUUUCUCUUUAAAAAUUAGGGACACAUUCUCAAUCUGCGUCAGCCACUUGUUGUUUCCCGAGUGUAAGCACUCAAGAGGACGAGGGUCCCUGCAGUCUGGAACAUCUGUGUCCCUCGCUGCAGCGUCUCGGAUGUUUAUCCCCGAGGCUGUUUGUGUCUGUGUGCGGUGCUCAUCCUCCGUACUUAACUGUGGGUGGAAAGAAGGGUCAUAACAUACACAGCCAGCAGCCAUCGCAAAGAGACAGAGAGGGACCGGCUAAGCUUUAACGUUUUCUUUAAUAUAAUAAUCAUCUUCUGCAGGUGUUAAAAGAUAAAACAAACGGGCGAUGACACUGCAAAUUGAAAUGAGGUUAUUUUGCUGGGAGUUGGCCACAGCUGUACCGAUGUCUGCCUCUUUUUCCAUCUAAUGGAACCAAAAAUAAAUUCAGAAACUAACCAGAAAUGCUUGUUUUCAGGAAUCAUGACCUGGUUACUCAAAAACAAAAAACCCAGACCCUGCUGUCAGCAGUUUCAUGUAGGAACUAGUUUCUUGCUAACAAACUUCACUUGCCAACCAUAUUGCCAUGCAGAGAGGGACGAAGCUGUGACAGUGUGAGAAGAUGCCAACUCCAUGUGGACUGCAUGUGUAGCUAACUCCACCCGUCUUUUGUUGGUAGAUUAUGAUGAUAAUAAACUUUAUUUGUAUCAGAACCA